AGUGAACGCUGGCGGUAGGCCUAACACAUGCAAGUCGAACGGCAGCACAGUAAGAGCUUGCUCUUACGGUUGGCGAGUGGCGGACGGGUGAGGAAUACAUCGGAAUCUACUUUUUCGUGGGGGAUAACGUAGGGAAACUUACGCUAAUACCGCAUACGACCUACGGGUGAAAUCAGGGGAUCUUCGGACCUUGCCCGAUUGAAUGAGCCGAUGUCGGAUUAGCUAGUUGGCGGGGUAAAGGCCCACCAAGGCGACGAUCCGUAGCUGGUCUGAGAGGAUGAUCAGCCACACUGGAACUGAGACACGGUCCAGACUCCUACGGGAGGCAGCAGUGGGGAAUAUUGGACAAUGGGCGCAAGCCUGAUCCAGCCAUACCGCGUGGGUGAAGAAGGCCUUCGGGUUGUAAAGCCCUUUUGUUGGGAAAGAAAAGCAGCAGGUUAAUACCCCGCUGUUCUGACGGUACCCAAAGAAUAAGCACCGGCUAACUUCGUG
rnacentral:rRNA from 1 species